AUGAGAAGAGAAAAAAGAAGGAGAAAGGAACCUAACAGCAAUGUCUGUCUGCAAUGGUAACACUUGCAUCAACAGGGAAAGCUGAAAGCCAGGAAGAUCGGUAAGAUGGAGAGAUUGGUGAAGGCACGGUGAUUCUAAGACUGAUGCGUUAAGAUUUCUAUUCCCAGCCAGCUCUACUCUGGAUGUGACUAAAAUGGAUGUGAGAGGACUUCUCAUACCUUGAACUGUUUAGCUAUUCAGCUCAGGAACUAUAUCUUGGUUUUGCCAUUCAUUGCUAUGGAACAGAUAUCUUCUCUGGAGAAGAUGGCACAGUACCUUCCCCUGAGCAGACAACCUCUAGCAAUACCAGGCUAUAUCAAAACUGAAAAACAGCAGGAGUUUCCAGACAUCUUGGAUACUUUCUAAACUGCAAUUUAUCACCCAUUUUCUUCCCUCUCUUUUUUUAUUAAAUGAGCUGCCCUAGGCAAUUAGCUGAACUGGAGUCUUCACAAGGCGCUUUUUCAAAUAUUCUCAAGAGCACAGAUAACACCAUGCAAGAUUUUUAUCCUGGAAAUGAAAACUAAUACUGAUUGAUUGCACAUCACCAUAGCAGAGUCACGGAAGGAAUAUGACUGAACAUUUUAACUGAUAAGAUUACAGACUUUGAGAAGAAAAUGUUUUUGAUGUCAGACUCUUGAAAUUCAACAAGAAGGUCCUGUACCUGGGAAGGAAUAACUGCAUGCAGCAGUAAAGGCUGGGGGCAGACCUGUUGGGAAGGAGCUCUGCGAAGAAGGACUUGGGGUCCUGGUGGACAAAAGGUGCUGGAGGACUUUGGAAGUAGACGUAAUCCGUAACCAAGUUGGAUAUAACUAUCAUCUGCCCAAGGCAUCUAAUGUUAGCGAUCUGAACCACAGCGCUUUCCCUGGGAGUGCCAGGUGCAGAGAAGAUGGUGUGCACCAAACUUUUUCCCUUGAACAACCUGCAGGAAAUUCACAGCAAACUUUCUUUCCAUGAUGAUGGAGAACAUUUCCACAUUCUGUACUGCUAUCAUACCAGUGAUAAUAUAUUAACACAAUAAUGUCUUCCAUACUCACUUGAUAAUGUAACUUUUCUUCCCUCCCAAGCAAUCAUGCCCAUUUUCAUCAACUAAUCUAUUUCUUGACAACCUACGCUCAUUAGAACAGCUGAGAUUUUCCUGCCUCCUGAACUAGGAUCUACAGGACCUGUCUGAAAACUGAGUAUUGCUUUUUUGAACAGUGGAACAGCCAAAAUCCAGACAGUUCUGUGCUUAAAGAACUAAGAAUGUACUAUUAAAGAAGGUGAGAGGAUUUAAAAGCAGUCGGUAU